GUGGAAAUUGGAAUACUUCGAAUCAAAUCUUGAUAUACGGUAGGUGAUUUCUCCAACAUAUACAGCUCCUCACAGGAUGGAUCACAAUUCAUGGCUGUAGAAGCAAAGCUGCUUAACUAUUUCUUUCCAUAUUUAUGUGAUGAGUGCUACAUUCUUGUUGAUGCGCAUACAGAACCUCUAUUAAUCGCAUUUGGUGUAAAAAUUGCUAGUGCCACACCCCUGCUAGUGCCAUCAAUUCAGAUACCUGGACCCAGUUAU